AUUGAACGCUAGCGGGAUGCUUUACACAUGCAAGUCGAACGAGUGGCGGACGGGUGAGUAUUAUAUCGGUACGUGCCCAGUAGCUGGGGAUAACUACUCGAAAGCGUGGCUUAUACCUCAUUCUAUUUGAGGGGCCGCUUUCGGAUUAGCUAGUUGGUGGGGUAAAGGCUCACCAAGGCAACGAUCCGUAGCUGGUUUGAGAGGACGACCAGCCACACUGGGACUGAGACACGGCCCAGACUCCUACGGGAGGCAGCAGUGGGGAAUUUGGGACAAUGGGGGAAACCCUGAUCCAGCCAUCCCGCGUGUAUGAGAAGGCCUUCGGGUUGUAAAGUACUUUUGGCAGAGAAGCGGUAUCUGCAGAAGAAGCACCGGCUAACUACGUGCCAGCAGCCGCGGUAAUUC
rnacentral:rRNA from 1 species